UGCAGAGUGAACCCAGUCUACUUGUUUUAAUUAUUAUCUCCUGGUGAAGACCUUGUCUUUUAAGGAGAGAAAAUAUCAAUUGAAUUCCAACACUUCUCCCUUGGCAUUGUUAUAGACUGUUAAUCCACUGAGAGGAGAAGACAAGAAAAUGCAGAGUCUGGCUUUCUCCUUGGCUGUGGCAUAAGAGGGUCAUUCAUGCUAUCAUCUUUCAAACACGGAUAUGAAAUAAAAGAGCCCCAAGCAUGGACCAGUGACCAAUAGCAAAUGGAUGUGGUCCAAGGAAAUGGAUUAAUUCAUAUUUGCAACACCUGGAAUGUGACCUAUCCAUAUCAAGGAUUGUUUUCCCCCUAAUCCGUGGACAGUGGCUAUAUUAUUAGUGUAUCCACAAAGAACAAUACACCCAAAUUAAAGCACAGAAUACCAAGUCUGGAACAAUGA